UGGGGAAUUUUGGACAAUGGACGAAAGUCUGAUCCAGCCAUUCCGCGUGCAGGACGAAGGCCUUCGGGUUGUAAACUGCUUUUGUACAGAACGAAAAGGUUUCUAUUAAUACUAGGAGCCCAUGACGGUACUGUAAGAAUAAGCACCGGCUAACUAC
rnacentral:rRNA from 1 species